GGGGGGGGGGGGGGGGGGGUUUUUUGGGGGGGGGGGGGCGCCGGUGUUGGGGGGGUUGCCGCCCGGGGGGAGGGGGGGGGGGGGGGGGGGGGGGGGUUAAAAAUAAUUGGGAAGAGAAAAAAGGAUAAACGCACCCAGGAAAAAAAGGUUAAAAGGGGGAAAAAAGAAGGGGGAAAAAAGGGGGGGGGGGGGGGGGGGCGGGGGGGGGGGGGGGGGGGGGGGGGGGUUUUCUUUUUUUGUAAUCUCUAUUUUUUUUUUUUUCCUUUCCCAACCCCCCCCAGGGGAAACGCCUUUGAAUGUACCCCCAAAAAAGAACGGGCGGUCUCCCACCGAAUGGAAAGGGCCCCCCCGUUUGGGGGGAUAAUGCCAACGGGGGUAAAACCGGAAAACCUGCCCUUUUUUGGGUAAAGGGUGGAAACACCUUCAAUCCUGAAUAGUCCCCGCACCCAUGUCUGUGGUGAAAAAAUUUUUGGUUGGGAAAGAACUCCGGCCUAUCAGCUUGUUGUGAAGUAAGGCUCACCAAGGGGAUACGGGUACCCGCCUGAGAGGUGACCGGCCACACUGGGACUGAGACACGGCCCAGAUUCCUACGGGAGGCAGCAGUGGGGAAUAUUGCCCAAUGGGCGAAAGCCUGAUGCAGCAACGCCGCGUGAGGGAUGACGGCCUUCCGGGUUGUAAACCUUCUUUUAGUAGGGAAAGAAGCGAAAGUGACGGUACCUGCAGAAAAAGCACCGGCUAACUACGUGCCAGCAGCCGCGGUAAUACGUAGGGUGCAAGCGUUGUCCGGAAUUAUUGGGCGUAAAGAGCUCGUAGGCGGUUUGUCGCGUCUGCUGUGAAAUCCCGAGGCUCAACCUCGGGCUUGCAGUGGGUACGGGCAGACUAGAGUGCGGUAGGGGAGAUUGGAAUUCCUGGUGUAGCGGUGGAAUGCGCAGAUAUCAGGAGGAACACCGAUGGCGAAGGCAGAUCUCUGGGCCGUAACUGACGCUGAGGAGCGAAAGCAUGGGGAGCGAACAGGAUUAGAUACCCUGGUAGUCCAUGCCGUAAACGUUGGGCGCUAGAUGUAGGGACCUUUCCACGGUUUCUGUGUCGUAGCUAACGCAUUAAGCGCCCCGCCUGGGGAGUACGGCCGCAAGGCUAAAACUCAAAGGAAUUGACGGGGGCCCGCACAAGCGGCGGAGCAUGCGGAUUAAUUCGAUGCAACGCGAAGAACCUUACCAAGGCUUGACAUACACCGGAAACGGCCAGAGAUGGUCGCCCCCUUGUGGUCGGUGUACAGGUGGUGCAUGGUUGUCGUCAGCUCGUGUCGUGAGAUGUUGGGUUAAGUCCCGCAACGAGCGCAACCCUCGUUCUAUGUUGCCAGCGGGUUAUGCCGGGGACUCAUAGGAGACUGCCGGGGUCAACUCGGAGGAAGGUGGGGAUGACGUCAAAUCAUCAUGCCCCUUAUGUCUUGGGCUUCACGCAUGCUACAAUGGCCGGUACAAAGGGCUGCGAUACCGUAAGGUGGAGCGAAUCCCAAAAAGCCGGUCUCAGUUCGGAUUGAGGUCUGCAACUCGACCUCAUGAAGUCGGAGUCGCUAGUAAUCGCAGAUCAGCAACGCUGCGGUGAAUACGUUCCCGGGCCUUGUACACACCGCCCGUCAAGUCAUGAAAGUCGGUAACACCCGAAGCCGGUGGCCUAACCCUUGUGGAAGGAGCCGUCGAAGGUGGGAUCGGUGAUUAGGACUAAGUCGUAAUCAAGGGA
rnacentral:rRNA from 1 species